GCCAGACUAUCCAAGGCCGCGGGCUCUGUCUCCAGCACAGCGAUCAUCGGUGUUGGCCGAGGUGGGGUGGACGGCCCUGUCCCGCAAAUGUCCGUCCAUGGACCAUUCACCAGUUGCUGGAUGCUGGAGAUGCAGAUGAGGACCCAGGGUUGCUGGCUUCAUGGCCCUCAGAUGCUAGAGGGAAACACAGACAAUAAACAGAUUUUUAAGUAUGCAGCAAAACUUUCUUGGAAAAGGAAGAAACAUUUGUUCCAGUGACCCAGCACUGUCCACCUCUGCUAUGGACUGAUCUGCCCCGGG
rnacentral:lncRNA from 1 species